UUGAAUUGUUUAAUGGUUGCU
rnacentral:siRNA from 1 species